AGAGCGAACGCUGGCGGCAGGCUUAACACAUGCAAGUCGAGCGGAUGUAGCAAUACAUCAGCGGCAGACGGGUGAGUAACACGUGGGAACGUACCUUUUGGUUCGGAACAACACAGGGAAACUUGUGCUAAUACCGGAUAAGCCCUUACGGGGAAAGAUUUAUCGCCGAAAGAUCGGCCCGCGUCUGAUUAGCUAGUUGGUGAGGUAAUGGCUCACCAAGGCGACGAUCAGUAGCUGGUCUGAGAGGAUGAUCAGCCACAUUGGGACUGAGACACGGCCCAAACUCCUACGGGAGGCAGCAGUGGGGAAUAUUGGACAAUGGGCGCAAGCCUGAUCCAGCCAUGCCGCGUGAGUGAUGAAGGCCCUAGGGUUGUAAAGCCCUUUCGGCGGGGAAGAUAAUGACGGUACCGCAGAAGAAGCCCGGCUAACUUCGUGCCAGCAGCCGC
rnacentral:rRNA from 1 species